rnacentral:tRNA from 1 species
UCCUGGUGGCUCAGACGGCAAAACGUCUGCCUGUAAUGCAGGAGGCCCAGGUUUGAUUCCUGGGUCGGGAA